UGCAGCCCCAAUCGGGCGGUAA
rnacentral:snRNA from 1 species